rnacentral:rRNA from 1 species
UUUUGGACAAAGGGGGAAAGCCCGAUCCCCCAAAACCGCGUGUGGGAAAAAGGCGCUCGGGGGGUAAACCACUUUUGUACCGAGGGAAAAACUGUGGCUUUAUCCGGGGGGUUCAUGACGGUACCGUAAGAAUAAGCACCGGCUAACUACGUGCCAGCAGCCGCGGUAAUACGUAGGGUGCGAGCGUUAAUCGGAAUUACUGGGCGUAAAGCGUGCGCAGGCGGUUAUAUAAGACAGGUGUGAAAUCCCCGGGCUCAACCUGGGAAUUGCAUCUGUUACUGUAUAGCUAGAGUACGGUAGAGGGGGGUGGAAUUCCGCGUGUAGCAGUGAAAUGCGUAGAUAUGCGGAGGAACACCAAUGGCGAAGGCAACCCCCUGGGAUAUGUACUGACGCUCAUGCACGAAA